rnacentral:rRNA from 1 species
CCCUGCGCAAGGGAUCGUUAGGCUCUAUGUACGAUGAAGGCCGGGGCAGCAACCGAUAUGGCGCAAUGUAUGCAGAUAUCGUUGUGCGUGGCCGAAUUGAACAGAGAUGUUCGGAUACUCCUUUGAAUUAAGCA